CGUGGCGGGUGAAGAAUGCAGUCGACGAUUAUCAUCGGGUAGCAAUAUUCGGUGGUGAGAGUGGCGCAAGGGUGCGUAACACGUGGGUAAUUUGCCGUGAAGUCUGGAAUAACUUGCUGAAAGGCGAGCUAAUACCGGAUGUGAUUGCUGGGGGGCAUCCUCUGGCACUUAAAGUCGGGGACCGCAAGGCCUGACACUUUUCGAUAAGCCCGCGGCCUAUCAGCUAGUUGGUGAGGUAACGGCUCACCAAGGCUAAGACGGGUAGCUGGUCUGAGAGGACGACCAGCCACACUGGAACUGAGACACGGUCCAGACACCUACGGGUGGCAGCAGUCGAGAAUUUUUCACAAUGGGCGAAAGCCUGAUGGAGCGACGCCGCGUGGGGGAUGAAUGGCUUCGGCCCGUAAACCCCUGUCAUUUGCGAUCAAACCUGCCUGUCUAAUACAUUGGCAGCUGAUAGUAGCGAAAGAGGAAGGGACGGCUAACUCUGUGCCAGCAGCCGCGGUAAUACAGAGGUCCCAAGCGUUGUUCGGAUUCACUGGGCGUAAAGGGUGCGUAGGUGGCGGUGGAAGUUUGAUGUGAAAUCUCCGGGCUUAACCCGGAAAAGGCAUUAAAUACUCCAUUGCUCGAGGACUGGAGGGGAGACUGGAAUUCUCGGUGUAGCGGUGAAAUGCGUAGAUAUCGAGAGGAACACCAGUGGCGAAGGCGAGUCUCUGGACAGUCCCUGACACUGAGGCACGAAAGCUAGGGGAGCAAACAGGAUUAGAUACCCUGGUAGUCCUAGCUGUAAACGGUGCACAUUUGCCGUGAGCGGAAUCGACCCCGUUCGUGGCGGAGCUAACGCGAUAAAUGUGCCGCCUGGGGAGUACGGUCGCAAGAUUAAAACUCAAAGGAAUUGACGG
rnacentral:rRNA from 1 species